rnacentral:rRNA from 1 species
UACGGAGGGUCCAAGCGUUAUCCGGAAUCAUUGGGUUUAAAGGGUCCGUAGGCGGUUUUGUAAGUCAGUGGUGAAAGCCCAUCGCUCAACGGUGGAACGGCCAUUGAUACUGCAAGACUUGAAUUAUUGGGAAGCAACUAGAAUAUGUAGUGUAGCGGUGAAAUGCUUAGAGAUUACAUGGAAUACCAAUUGCGAAGGCAGGUUGCUAGCAAUACAUUGACGCUGAUGGACGAAAGCGUGGGGAGCGAACAGG